UUUACUAAUAUCUAAAUAUUAAUGUUAGUUAUGACAAUUUUCCCUAGUCUUCUAAGUGAAAUUAUUAUUUUCAAAAUUAUUUCACAAAAUAUUAUUAAAAUAGUCUUAUAUUUUCUAUAUGACUAUAUACCAGUAUAGUAUCACUAGCAAAAUAAAUGUAAGAACACAAAGUCACGGUCUCAUCAAAUCCAUAGUCAUCAGUCGGAGUAUCAUCAGGCCUAAAAAAUACAUUAAGAUAUUUUUCACAAAAAGAACGCUUAUAAAUUAUGAUAAAACUCAUUACCUAGACCUACACAGAUCACAUUACAACUAACAACAAAAGAAAAGCUAGGUUAAGUUAACAAUUCGCACCAUAGAUAAAAAUGUAUACUUAAAAAAAAUAAAAAAGUAAAAAUGUAAAAUGUCACCCGUGGGGAACGAUCCAGCAACCUUUAGAUUCACAGGCGCGCGUCUAACCCAUAGGCCACCAAGUAAGAUAAUCAAGCAUGGGGAACUAUCCGAACUAUACUAAUAAGUUUGAAUAUAAGUAAACAAUCUUAACAAUAAAAACUAAAAAUAUAUAGAAUUGAAAAGGAAAA